rnacentral:sRNA from 1 species
GAGGGUCGGACGGUAUAUUUGAUCGAUAAAUCCGCGGUCACACUGAUCUCAAUUGCGGAACAUAAGGCCGUUUUGAAGCCCAACUGUGGCCCACAACUCCGCCCUGCCUCAGCCAGACCACCAGAUCGGCCAGGUGGAUCUUAGCCGACCAGAUCUUAGCCCGAAUCUGAAGAAAACCAAGCUGGAUGAGGCCUCGACGGCGGGGUUGAUGCAAGCACAUAAACGGAUCAGGGCGUGGUGUCUAUGAUGAGCUUCCAUCUGCGUCGCAAAAAGGGACUGGAACAAACCCUGGCGGCCAAGCUUACACCAAAGGCGUACGUCAAGGAGACUCAUGCCGUGCCCGGGCUGCCGGAGCUGCUGGAUCCUGCAUUCCCAACAAGACACGUCUGGACAGAUUAUGCGCCACUACGGCAGUGCAAGGGCAUCCGCCAGUUGCAGGCUUUGUACGUGUCCCACCUGCACGCGGAUCAUCACAUUGGAUUGAUUGGACUGCUGAAGGAGCGCAGAUAGCUGGCCCCGAAGGAAACUCGCUGCUCUUACUUGCGCCGCGGCAGAUCGAGCCAUGGAUGGAGUUCUAACAAGGAUAGCUCUUGGCGAGACUCCUGACUGGAGAGGCAGUGGCACCAUUGGGCAUAACUGCCGCCACUGCCAAGUCACCAGUAGGAACUGCCAAGCCGCCAGUGCGAACAGCUGCUUAAAAUCUUGCGAGACGCUUGGCGAUGCUGUGGAUGAUCGAGUUCAGCCCAACAAUCAACCUUUGCGGAAUGAGAGGAGCAGCAGCAAGGCAAGAAGGUGAGUUCUGGGUGAAAACUUGUCUCAUUGUCCUAUGCAGGAUGCCGAUCAGGAUUUGUACUAAAACCAGGACAGUUCGGCUAACUCGUCGCAGUCCUCGGUGGGCAUUGAUGACUAUUGGGAUGAGGCUCUGGUCGGCGACUAUGGAAGCACUCAGAAUGAUGACAGCGAUGACUUGGAUGGUCACAACAACUAGCCACCUAUCGAUGGGCGAGCGCAGACAACUGGCUCCAAAGGAAACUCGCUGCUCAUACUUGCACCGCGGCAGAUUGAGCCAUGGAUGGAGUUCUAACACGGAUAGCUCUUGGCGAGACUCCUGACUGGAGAGGCAGUAACUUUGGGCAUAACUGCCGCCACUACCAAGUCACCAGUACGAACUGCCAAGCCGCCAGUACGAACAGCUGCUUAAAAUCUUGCGAGGCGUUUGGCGAUGCUGUGGAUGAUCGAGUUCAGCCCAACAAUCAACCGUUGCGGAAUGAGAGGAGCAGCAGCAAGGCAAGAAGGAUGCCGAUCAGGAUUUUUACUAAAACCAGGAGAGUUCGGCUAACUCGUCGCAGUCCUCGGUGGGCAUUGAUGACUAUUGGGAUGAAGCUCUGGUUGGCGACUAUGGAAGCACUCAGAAUGAUGACAGCGAUGACUUGGACGGGCACAACAACUAGCCACCUAUCGAUGGGCAGCAAGGAAAAGAACCCGGCCGCAACGAGUUGCGUUACUAUUGGCGAUCAUGAGGUCAUGGACUGCAAAGAACAAUUCGACAAGCAGCAACAUUACUUGGGCCGAGCAGGGCAGUAAAUGUAAAAGUUGUACAGCACUAUCUUUAAAGCGUGCUCCGGCGGUCUUAAGCCUUCUGCACCAUGUUUUACAUCAUCGGUUUCGACCGGGAGCGCAGACAGCUGGCCCCGAAGGAAACUCGCUGCUCUUACUUGCGCCGCGGCAGAUCGAGCCAUGGAUGGAGUUCUAACACGGAUAGCUCUUGGCGAGACUCCUGACUGCAGAGGCAGUGGCACCAUUGGGCGUAACUGCCGCCACUGCCAAGUCACCAGUAGGAACUGCGAAGCCGCCAGUACGAACAGCUGCUUAAAAUCUUGCGAGACGCUUGGCGAUGCUGUGGAUGAUCAAGUUCAGCCCAACAAUCAACAGUUGCGGAAUGAGAGGAGCAGCAACAGGACAAGAAGGAUGCCGAUCAGGAUUUCUACUAAAACCAGGACAGUUCGGCUAACUCGUCGCAGUCCUCGGUGGGCAUUGAUGACUAUUGGGAUGAAGCUCUGGUCGGCGACUAUGGAAGCACUCAGAAUGAUGACAGCGAUGACUUGGACGGGCACAACAACUAGCCACCUAUCGAUGGGCAGCAAGGAGAAGAACCCGGCCGCAACGAGUUGCGUUACUAUUGGCGAUCAUGAGGUCAUGGACUGCAAAGAACAAUUCGACAAGCAGCAACAUUACUUGGGCCGAGCAGGGCAGUAAAUGUGAAAGUUGUACAGCACUAUCUUAAAAGCGUGCUCCGGCGGUCUUAAGCCUUCUGCACCAUGUUUUACAUCAUCGGUUUCGACCGGAUCCAGUGGCCUAAAAAGUGCUAUAGAGCGAUCCUCUCUUACCCCACCAGGAGGUCACCCCCUCCGGUGGCCAUGAAUACCUUUUGCAUGACCGCGAAUACCGAAUUACCCACCAUCGUUUAACUGGGGCUUCACACUUCAGGUCCUCCGGUUUAGCUGAACGAGUGGGCGCUCGAUGGCGGCUGUCCACUCCAGGCGCCUACCGGCUGACAUCGCGAGCUCCCCACCGGCUCUUGGGACAUGACUUACAUCGCGCGAGCUGUGGCCUCUAGCCUGGACGACCUUUGGGUCCUCUCGGGAUGUGUAAGGGAUGUGCUCCUGGCUGGACUGUGGCAGGCACUGUCUGUCCUCCUGCGGGCCAAAGCCAUGAUGCCACUACUGUGUCGCUGAAUCGACAAUGUGGCGUCCCGUCCGCUGCAGCAGGGACCACUGAUCGACUUCAGAAUUGUGGGUUCACGCCCACGGUAAUCAAACGCUGGUCUUCAGCCUCGAGGCGCAGGGCUUAUGUACCAUAUCCAAGCAUUGCCGAAUCGUAUCCCAGCAGGACAAAAGCGCACCCCUUGGAAGAGCCCAAAUCUAACAAGCCGACGUCACAUUUCGACCUGGCCAUUGAAAACUAUCUCAAGGACUUUGGCUAUGGCAACCAAGGGAGGGAUACGCGGACUACCAGACUAUAGAUAGAUCUCGUUGUUAAUAGGUUUAAGGAUACACACGUCUGUACAUUUAGAUAGUAGAUAUAAAUAUUUCCAAAUUGUUAAUUUCUUUAUAGUAAGUUAACGUUAUUAUGAAUAAAACUAUUGAAAAAUUA